GAUGAACGCUGGCGGCGUGCCUAAUACAUGCAAGUCGAGCGAACGGACGAGAAGCUUGCUUUUCUGAUGUUAGCGGCGGACGGGUGAGUAACACGUGGAUAACCUACCUAUAAGACUGGGAUAACUUCGGGAAACCGGAGCUAAUACCGGAUAAUAUUUUGAACCGCAUGGUUCAAAAGUGAAAGACGGUCUUGCUGUCACUUAUAGAUGGAUCCGCGCUGCAUUAGCUAGUUGGUAAGGUAACGGCUUACCAAGGCAACGAUGCAUAGCCGACCUGAGAGGGUGCACGACCACACUAGAGUUGAGACACGGUCCAUACUCCUACGGGAGGCAACAGAUGGGAAUCUUGCGGAAUGGGCGAAAGCCUGACGGAGCAGCGCCGCGUGAGUGAUGAAGGUCUUGGGAUCGUAAAACUCUGUUAUUAGGGAAGAACAUAUGUGUAAGUAACUGUGCACAUCUUGACGGUACCUAAUCAGAAAGCCACGGCUAACUACGUG
rnacentral:rRNA from 1 species